CCCUACGGGAGGCAGCAGUGGGGAAUAUUGCACAAUGGGGGAAACCCUGAUGCAGCGACGCCGCGUGAGUGAAGAAGCGUUUCGGCGCGUAAAGCUCUGUCAGCGGGGAAGAAACACGGUUCGCGAGAGCCGCGGACGGUACCCGACUAAGAAGCCCCGGCUAACUACGUGCCAGCAGCCGCGGUAAUACGUAGGGGGCAAGCGUUAUCCGGAUUUACUGGGUGUAAAGGGAGCGUAGACGGCGCGGCAAGUCUGAAGUGAAAGGCAGGGGCUUAACCCCUGAACUGCUUUGGAAACUGCCAUGC
rnacentral:rRNA from 1 species